GAUGAAGUACGUAGUGAAAUGCGAUAAGUAAUGUGAAUUGCAGAAUUCAGUGAAUCAUCGAAUCUUUGAACGCACAUUGCGCCCAUUAGUAUUCUAGUGGGCAUGCCUGUUCGAGCGUCAUUAAGUCCACUUAAGCCCUGCUUAGUGUUGGGAGACUGCUCCAGCGGUGCUACCCUGUAGCUACCCUGCAGCUCCUCAAAGACAGCGGCGGAGUUGUGGUAUCCUCUGAGCUUAGUAACUUGUUCUAGCUUUCGAGUACACCACUUCCCCUGCCGUAAAACCCUUAAUUUUUAAUGGUUGACCUCGGAUCAGGUAGGAAUACCCGCUGAACUUAAGCAUAUCAAUAAGCGGAGGA
rnacentral:misc_RNA from 1 species